rnacentral:rRNA from 1 species
UAGGGAAUCUUCCGCAAUGGACGCAAGUCUGACGGAGCAACGCCGCGUGAGUGAAGAAGGAUUUCGGUUCGUAAAACUCUGUUGUUAGAGAAGAACAGCGCAUAGAGUAACUGUUAUGCGUGUGACGGUAUCUAACCAGAAAGCCACGGCUAACUACGUGCCAGCAGCCGCGGUAAUACGUAGGUGGCAAGCGUUGUCCGGAUUUAUUGGGCGUAAAGCGAGCGCAGGCGGUCAAUUAAGUCUGAUGUGGAAGCCCCCGGCUCAACCGGGGAGGGUCAUUGGAAACUGGUUGACUUGAGUGCAGAAGAGGAGAGUGGAAUUCCAUGUGUAGCGGUGAAAUGCGUAGAUAUAUGGAGGAACACCAGUGGCGAAGGCGACUCUCUGGUCUGUAACUGACGCUGAGGCUCGAAAGCGUGGGUAGCAAACAGG